rnacentral:lncRNA from 1 species
AUGCCCCCAGCCCAGUGUCACCAGUUCCAGCCAAGUGCCACCAGUCCUCUCCCACUGUCAUCACCACAGUGCCGCCAGCCCAGUGUCACCAACCCAGUUCCAGCCGUGUCCUCAGUCCUGCCCCAGUGCCACCAGCCCAGUUGCAUCCCUGUGCUCCCAGGGCCACCACCCCAUUAUCCCCAUACCAAUGACACCAUCCCAGGGCCACCAGUUUCACCCCAGUGCCCCCCACCCUGUCCCAGUGUUUCCCUCCAGUGUCCCCAGUCCUGUCCCACUAUCCUUGUCCACUUCCCUGCCAGGACCCUGAUUUGGAAUUGGAAUGGUUUCUUGGAUUGUUUUUGGGGACCCAGCAGGAUUUGGGGUCUGGGCUUUGGGAUUGGUUGGGAUGCAGGAUUUGGGUUUAUUUGCAAUAAUUUAUUGGGACGCAGAAGCAUCUGGAAUUUGGGAGCAUUUGGGAUCCAGGAUUUCGGAUCUGAGAUCAUCAGGGGUUGGUUUUUGUGGAUCCAGCAAGAUGUGUGGUCUGGGGCUUUGGGAUUGUUUGGGAUCCAGGAUUUGAGAUCCUUUAGGAUUGGAAAUGAGGUAUCCAGCAGCAUUUGGGAUCUGGGAAGUUUUGGAUCCAGGGUUUGGGAAUUGAGACCAUUUGGGGUUAUUCCUUGGGAUCCAGCAGGAUUUGGGAUCGCCUGGGACCCUCGGUGUCCCCAAUCCAUCCUGAUGUCCCCAGGGGGUCCCUUUUUCUCCCCUUCCCAGGCUCCCCUUGAAACCCCGCCCCUUUCCCACGCCCAACCUUUGCUCACCAGGCCCCGCCCAGUUUCGUUUCUGCCCAAGCCCCGCCUCUUUCCCCGCACUUCAUUCCUUGCCCUCCAGGCCCCGCCCCUUUCCCACGCCCCCAUUCCUUGCCCGCCUUUUCCUGCAUCGCGGGCCACGCCCCCUCCCCUCUGCUCCCCAUUGGUCGGUGCUCCUGGGGCUCCGCCCCUUUCCUACACUCCCAUUCCUCACCUUUCCAACCCCUGCCCCCGCCCCUCUAUGUGGGCGUGGCUACAC